UGUUGGAAGAACAGUUUUUUGUCCAAACUACACACCAGGAUGGAUCUACCAGUGGUGCCGAAAAGAAAAAUUAAUGGCUGAAAUAGACGGUGAAGAACGGAGAUGGCAACAACUAAAUGGCGACGAGUUUUCAUAUGAAGAUAUCAGUAAAGCUUAUGCGAGAUUCAUCUCGCGUCCUUUUCGCUACUUAUUAAGGGGGUUUGUUGUGCUAAAAGGGGUGCAUGAACCCACGUUGCUAAUGGCGGUACGACAAACCCUAGAAGAACUAUGGUGAGCUACAUUACACGACCUGAGUAGAUAUAUUACAAAGGGAUGAGGG
rnacentral:lncRNA from 1 species